ACUUGAAUAACUAAGCUUGAUCUAGUUGAUGCAUCACAGGGUUUAAGAGGUUUACAUGCCAGAAAGAAGUCCUUUUUCAAUUCUGAAGACCAAGUUGAUGCAUCAUAGGGUUUAAGAUGUUUACAUGCCAGAAACAAGUCCUUUUUCAAUUCUAAAGGACUUCAACUAAAAUUCAAGGCCUUCAACUAAAAUUCACUUCAAAGAUUCCAAUAUUGCUAGGAUGGACUUCAAUAAAAGUAGGAAAAAGUUUGUGAUCACCAAAAGUUCAUCACCAAAGUUCUUUUUCUGAUUACCAAGGGCUAAAAUAAGUUUAAUGUUUAGGAUUCCCUAGAAACUAUCAUCAGAAUGAUUGAUGAUUAGUGUCAAAAGACAACACAAGGAGUAGAUGAGGAUGAAAUCAAGAAACAUAAAUAUGCAUUCCUACUAUUUCGAACCUUUCUUUCUUUUUCUCUUUUACCCCAUCUUGCAAUCUGAAAAUCAAUUUACUCAACUCUUUCACCUAUUUAGAAUUAAAAAAAAAAAUCUCUAGCUAGCACUGGUGCCUUUUGAUAUUUAGCAUCCCCAUUCAACAUAAAGCACCCAAGUCUAGACUAUAUUUAGAAGGGCCGUGACAAUUCUAGAUCUGAAAGCCAAGACUUACGCAAGGAAUAAUGAGAACAUGAUGUUAAGCCCCGAAAAACAUACUUGCAUGAUAGAUUUCAGCUUGUGAUGUUUAGGUUGAUGGUUUCCAGAGUGGUCUAUUUGCUACAUGGAAAACCGAGAAAGCUAAAAGAUAUGUGGAGGUUACCAGCAUCUUAGCAACAAAAAUUUUUCACUUAAUCAGUAAACCUCAAAUUAUAAAUAAAAGAUGCAAAAGAAAUUGCCACAAUAGUUAAAAAUGCGUAAUAGGAUGGAAGCAUUUAAAUUCAAGAAAUCUUAGGAAAGAUGUCUUGUAGUAGCAUGAAAAUACAGAAGAGAUUAAGGAAAUUCAAGAAUUAACAAAAAAAAAGAAAAGAAAAGUGAAGGUACAAUGAUCUCAUCAGGAACAAAUACUCAUAUAGACUAGUAGCAUGAAAAUACAGAAGAGAUUAAGGAAAUUCAAGAAUUAACAAAAAAAA